UGGUGAGUUGACUUGUCUGCCUGAUCGCGAUAACGAACGAGAUCUUUCCGGCUUAAUAGAUUGCUGUGCCCGUUAGUAGGGGACGGCGCUUAUCCCGCUGUCUCCGAGGGCCCGUUCAAACUGCUUCGCCGGGCUAUGCGCGAUGCAAGCUCAGUCAAAGAAGUCGAUAGCA
rnacentral:rRNA from 1 species